rnacentral:rRNA from 1 species
ACGGCGAGUGAAGCGGCAACAGCUCAAAUUUGAAAUCUGGCUCCUGUGGGGUCCGAGUUGUAAUUUGUAGAGGGUGUUUCGGGCGCGGCGCCGGUUCAAGUCCCCUGGAACGGGGCGUCAUGGAGGGUGAGAAUCCCGUACGUGACCGGAGGCCAAGCCCGGGUGAAACCCCUUCGACGAGUCGAGUUGUUUGGGAAUGCAGCUCUAAAUGGGUGGUAAAUUCCAUCUAAAGCUAAAUACCGGCCAGAGACCGAUAGCGCACAAGUAGAGUGAUCGAAAGAUGAAAAGCACUUUGGAAAGAGAGUUAAAAAGUACGUGAAAUUGUUGAAAGGGAAGCGCUUGCGACCAGACCUGCGCGGGGGCGAUCAACGGCCGUUCUCGGCCGUGCACUCGUCCCCGAUCAGGCCAGCAUCGGUUCGGGCGGUCGGAUAAAGGCCCCGGGAAUGUGGCUCCCCUCGGGGAGUGUUAUAGCCCGGGGUGCAAUGCGGCCAGCCCGGACCGAGGACCGCGCUUCGGCAAGGAUGCUGGCGUAAUGGUCGUCAGCGACCCGUCUUGAAACACGGACCAAGGAGUCUAACAUCUGUGCGAGUGUUUGGGCGAAAAACCCAUACGCGCAAUGAAAGUGAACGUAGGUGGGAGCCCUUAAGGGUGCACCAUCGACCGAUCCAGAUCUUCUGGGAUGGAUUUGAGUAUGAGCAUAGCUGUUGGGACCCGAAAGAAGGUGAACUAUGCUUGAAUAGGGUGAAGCCAGAGGAAACUCUGGUGGAGGCUCGCAGCGGUUCUGACGUGCAAAUCGAUCGUCAAAUUUGGGCAUAGGGGCGAAAGACCAAUCGAACUUUCUAGUAGCUGGUUUCUGCCGAAGUUUCCCUCAGGAUAGCAGUAACGUCUUCAGUUUUAUGAGGUAAAGCGAAUGAUUAGAGGACUGGGGGGAGCAAAUCCCUUCACCUAUUCUCAAACUUUAAAUAUGUAAGAAGUCCUUGUUACUUAGUUGAACGUGGACAUUUGAAUGUACCGUUACUAGUGGGCCAUUUUUGGUAAGCAGAACUGGCGAUGCGGGAUGAACCGAACGCGAGGUUAAGGUGCCAGAAUGUACGCUCAUCAGACACCACAAAAAGUGUUGAUUCAUCCAGACAGCCGGACGGUGGCCAUGGAAGUCGGAAACCGCUAAGGAGUGUGUAACAACUCACCGGCCGAAUGAAUCAGCCUUGAAAAUGGAUGGCGCUCAAGCGUGCUACCCAUACCUCGCCGCCAGGGUAGAAACGAUGCCCUGGCGAGUAGGCAGACGUGGGGGU